AAAGAACUUUGAAGAGAGAGUUCAAGAGUACGUGAAACCGCCCAGAGGUAAACGGGUGGAUCCGCAAAGUCGGUCCGCGGAAUUCAGCGGCGCCCGGCCCGGGGUCGCCGCGGUUCGGGAUCCUUGUGAACCGAUCGCGGUGCCGAGUCGGGCCCCGCCGCGUGCACUUUCCGUGGACAGAGAGCCACAACCGGUUCGGUGAGCUUGCGACGACAGGCCACGAGGGUUGUAGGUGGGGGCGCUCGCGUCCCUACCAGCCUUCCCCGGUUAGCCGCCUCCGGACCGAGGGACCGCCGCGCGCUUCGAGGCCAUCCUCCCCUCCGGGUGAGGUCGACAGGGAGAGACUGGGCAACCGUGUCUCCUGACCGCUCACCCGCGAUCGGCGUGGGGCCGGCCGGGCGCGAUUGAGAGGGUUUGUGGCAAGUCUGUCGGCAUUCCACCCGACCCGUCUUGAAACACGGACCAAGGAGUCUAACAUGCGCGCGAGUCAUUGGGCGGUACGAAACCCAAAGGCGCAGUGAAAGCGAGGGUCGUUUCCGAGCGGCCUAGGUGGGAUCCUCUCCUCUGGGAGCAAUCCGUGAGGGGUGGC
rnacentral:rRNA from 1 species